rnacentral:pre_miRNA from 1 species
UGGACAAUUAUUGUAUUCGACUGUAUUCACGGCGUAGAAUAGGGGAUUACAACUGUUUUUAAAAAGAAAGUGAAUCAAUUAACAUAACUCCU